rnacentral:rRNA from 1 species
UACGUAGGGUGCAAGCGUUGUCCGGAAUUAUUGGGCGUAAAGAGCUUGUAGGCGGUUUGUCGCGUCUGCUGUGAAAUUUCGGGGCUCAACCCCGAACUUGCAGUGGGUACGGGCAGACUAGAGUGUGGUAGGGGAGACUGGAAUUCCCGGUGUAGUGGUGAAAUGCGUAGAGAUCGGGAGGAACACCCGUGGCGAAGGCAGCUCGCUGGGACGGUACUGACGCUCAGGUGCGAAAGCUAGGGGAGCGAACAGG